rnacentral:rRNA from 1 species
GAAGGUGCUGGCACCCGAAAGACGAGUGGCGAACGGGUGCGUAACGCGUAUGCAAUCUACCUUUUACUAGGGUAUAGCCCGGAGAAAUUUGGAUUAAUCCCCUACAAUAUCAUGAAUUCGCAUGAUUUUAUGAUUAAAGCUUCGGCGGUAAAAGAUGAGCAUGCGUCCUAUUAGUUAGUAGGUGAGGUAACGGCUCACCUAGACUACGAUAGGUAGGGGCCCUGAGAGGGGGAUCCCCCACACUGGUACUGAGACACGGACCAGACUCCUACGGGAGGCAGCAGUAAGGAAUAUUGGACAAUGGACGAAAGUCUGAUCCAGCCAUGCCGCGUGCAGGAUUGACAGCCCUUAGGGUUUGUAAAACUUCUUUUAUACAGGGAAGGAAACCUUUCCACGGUGUGGGAAAGGCUGGACGGUACUGGAAAGAAUAAGGGAUCCGGGUAACUCCGUGGCCAGCAGGCGCGGUACUACGGAGGAUCCAGGCGGUAAUCCGGAAUCAGUUGGGGGUUUCAAAGGGUCCCGGACAGGCGGGCUAUAAAGGUCACCGAGAGGUGAAAAUCCUGGGAGCUCCACCUGGUAGAAAUGCCCUUGGAACACUGGAAGACUGUAGAUAUAGUGACACGUGUCUAAACGUGUUGUGGUAGAGGGGGACAAGGGUUUGAAUUUCUCCCAGAAAUACCAAUGUGCAAGGCAGACUCCUCAACAACUUUCGACGCCCAG